UCGUCUCAAAGGGCUAAGCCAUGCAAGUGCAAGUACGAAUUGAUUGAUAACGACACUGCGAAAGGCUCAUUAAAUCAGUCGUGGUUUACGUGGUCGUGCGGCGACCGUGUCGGAAAAUGGAUAACCGUGGAAAAUCUAGAGCUAAUACAUGCAAAAGGCGCCGACUUCGGGAGGCGUGCGUUUAUUGGAGUAGCGUCGGCCGGCGUCUUUCGGGGCGCCGUCGAUAGUUGCUGACUCUGGAUAACUGAGCGGAUCGCCCAUUGCAAUGGGCGACGUACCAUUCGAACGUCUGACCUAUCAACUUUUGUCGGUACGGUCUCGGCCUACCGAGGUGCUUACGGGUGACGGGGAAUCAGGGUUCGAUUCCGGAGAGGAAGCCCGAGAAACGGCUGCCACUUCCAAGGAAGGCAGCAGGCGCGCAAAUUACCCACUUCAGACUCUGAGAGGUAGUGACGAGAGAUAACGGUGCGGGCCCACACGAUGGGCGUCGCAACCGCAAUGAGAGCAGAUCAAAAAUCUGCGUCGGGUCGCGUUCGCGCGUCCCUUUCGAGUAUCGAUCGGAGGGCAAGUCUGGUGCCAGCAGCCGCGGUAAUUCCAGCUCCGAAAGUGUAUGCUAACUUUGUUGUGGUUAAAAAGCUCGUAGUUGAUCGGUGACCUCCUGGUCGGGACGAGCGGACGAUCGGAUGCCCUUGCGCUUCGCGGCGCGGGGCGGAUGGUCGGAUGCGCCGGCCGGAGGCAGAAGAACCACACGAGGCGGCGGCCUGGCAUAAAGGGUCGUCGCCUGGUCGAAGUCAAUCGCCCUGAAAGAAAGUAAGCGUAUCAGGGCAGGUCGAAGGAUUCGACCUUGAAGCACGUCGCAGGGUACGACGAAAGAGGGCCGCGGCUCCGCCGCCGGCGCCGGAUGUACGCGCGGCAAUGAUCGAGAGAGACGGACGGGGGCAUUCGUACUGUGCCGGGAGGGGUGAAAUCCGUUGAUCGGCGCAGACGAACUGA
rnacentral:rRNA from 1 species